GACCAGUGGGAUGUAGGCAGGACUCCUGUGAAAUAGGGCGCUGAGACCACCAGGGAACGUGAGGGAGGUUUCCAGAGCAUCCCGACUGGUAACAUGCUUUCUGGGCUCAGCUGCCUCUUCCUUCUUUUUUCAUUUUUUAUUUUGAAUAUGUUACUAUUUGCUUUCAGACUUGUUAGGUAUUUCCAUACACAACCAAGGCAGCACAAUAGGAAGAGCCACAACAACUCAAGUCAAAAGCUGUGGUGCUGAGAAUAGCUGUGGGCUUAAUGGAGAAGGAAAGUGCAUACCCCAACAAGCCCAGGCGCAGGCUGAUACUGUUCCAAAACGCACGCUGUGGAAAAGUCCAGGCCAUUAACAGCUCCAACCAGUAACCCAAGAGUGGUUUCCGGUUUUUUAUGACCAGCUACUCACAGUGCUCUGUUCCCUGCUUUUAUAAAUACUUAUGCAUUCAAGUUGAGUCUACUGAACAAAAGAAGACUGGAAGUGAAUGGAUAAUAUAACUGCUACAAGAAGAGCUUUCCAAAAGAAAAUUGCAAGGGAAAGUCACAAAAUGCUUCUUAGAUAAAGGAUUCACCAGUUUUCAUUUUGAAAUCACACCUUCCUCCAGGAAGGCAAAGCACCAAAACAUCUGAUCCAAUACACAGAAGGUCAAGAGGUGGAGCUCAAAGUACUUGCAGCAAUCAGUCGUAGCGAAAGUCUUUCCAGGGGAAGAGAAAGAUUGCCCUUUGGCCUGAGAAGCUGUCAGUCUCUGCAAUGAACAGCGGAGGCCUGAAGGACAGAGGCAGGAGGGCUGUCUGGGAGCCACGGUCACCGUCACCCUACCUAUUCCCCAACGGUCUUCUCAGUGCACAAAGCACACCCAGCCAUGCAGCUCACUGGGGAAGAGCAGGAAAUGGCUACCAAAGGCAUAGAGGAAUGCCAGCUGGGCCCUCAGGCGCCCCUCCAAGGUGCAGAUGGAGGGCUCCGAAUAAAGUCCUGGAAGAGAAGAUGCCGCCAGUCUAUGUGAAAUAAUGGGAUUUUUUAAAAAAUGCACAUACCAAAAAACAAAGACUAAGAACCGAUUCUUCCAUUUCCUCUUUAAUAAUUCCUUUCUUCCCACUAACCUGAGGAAAUCUGACAAUACACUGCUUUAUCUGUUCUUAUAUUUUACUUCUGAAUAUUGUACAAUUGACAAAUUUAGACAAAUGUACUUUUGAAAUUCAAAGGUGACUUGUGCUCAACGUGGAGAAUUCAGCGGACCCUGAACAACCAAACCUUUUCCUGCCCUUAAUGGUACGUAAUAGAAAACUGAGUAACUUUUAAAAUACUUGGCCAUGUUUUAAAGAAUAAAAGGAAAAUCACCCAUCCUGAGGAAUGGAGGCUGGGGGAGUAAAUUGGCAGUAAAGCUGCCCAGGUCCAUGCUGUUCUAAGGAUCUGCAUGUAAACACAGGCGUGUUCAUACAUUUCUGCAUUCUGUACUGGACAGAGAAAACAUAUCUUCAGAGCUGAACAAGGCAGGGCUCAGGAGCGGAUCCACCCACAUAAACCUAGCAGCCUUGAAACACAGCCUGGUCUCUAACUGGAGGCUGAAUGUAUCCAGCAGCCUGCUGGCCACAGAUGAGGAGAUGAAGAACCGAGCACAGGUGCCACAGGAAGCUUGCUCUGCACAGGGCCAGGUUGCAAGCCUGCGGCAACCACAAGCAGGAGGAGGCGACUGUAGCAGCCGCAGCAGACGACCUAGGCUAGGAAAUUAACACCAGUGCUUUCUGGACCCGAGAAAACCCUACGGGCGCCCCACUGCCCAGCACAUGCAAGACAGCCUGGGAAGCACCUCCUACCAGGACAGGCUUAACGCAGGGCAAGGAAAUAGAUGGGACCGAGGAGUCAAGGACAACCAUAUCUACAAGCUGCGCUUUUAAAAAAGACAGCAUCCGGUACCCAGUGAAGUCACCCAAGGCCAUCUGUAUCGGCAUUCCCUUAGUUAAUUUAAUGACUGAGAAUUUUCCAGAAAUGAAAAAAUACCUAUUUUGAUACAGUCUCAAAUAGGAUAAAUGAAAACUAAUCCACACCUAAUAACAUGACAGUGAGCAUCACCACCACCAGCAAAAGAAGUCCUAAAAACUCCAACAGAGAGAUGAUUACCUAGAAAAGGGUAAUUAAAAUAAUAGAUUUCUCAGCAGUAGGAAAGGAUUCCAGGAGAAUAUUAUAUUUGGGGGAAAUAUUGUCUUUGAUGGAAAACUACUUUUCAAUCUACAAUUCUAUGUCCAGUUAAUCUAUCUAUUAAUAAUUCACUGAAGACAAGAGAACGAGACUUUUUUAGACAGAGUAAUAGAACACGUGGUUUUCAGAGCCUCACUGAAACAACUACCUAAGGAUAUUGCCAAGUUAGGACAAAAUUAAACAGGAAGUAAAGCAAAGCAGGAAGCAAUGGUGAGUAAAGAAAAUAAGAUUUAACUGUAAAACUGUCUACUUCUAUAUUAAAUAGGGCUUUUCUGCCUCUGAAUUUUGACUAAAGCUCCAAACUGAAAACAAAAAAUCCUAGAAGAUUGUGUAUUAUAAAUAAUGAGAUGAGUCUGGCAAAUCAACCACCAUCUGAACAUACAAAAAUUGCCCAAGAAGACUGCAAAGGAGAGGCCAGGAAUGAGGCUUCUCUGGAAGCAGCUGGUGUAUUGUGUGUUCGACAGCCCUCUCUGCGUGGCAGAAGGAAGAGGAGCGCUUCCCUUUCCCAAGGUAACUGAAGGGCUUUAGGGAACUUUCCAGAAUGCCUGCACACCGGGGGCUCCAUGGAGCUUGUAAAACCCCAGAACUGAGAGCUGACUCACAACCCCAAACACUUAGAGAAAGCCUGGUGCUUCUGACAGCAGAGUGGGAAAAGGGAUAGGAAGAGAGAUGUGUUCAUGCUGCCAGCCAAACCAGCAUGGCAAGCUGCCAGACCUGGGUUCCACUGGAAGCAGCCAGAGGUGAGCCACGCAGAGUGGGGCCUUGUGCAGGAGGCCGAGAGGAUGGGAGAAGAGCUCUGUGGAGGCCGGGGUGUGGUGGACCCAGCCAGAGGCCAAGCUGCAGAGGCCUUUCCACAGCGGGGGAUCCAGGACUGAGGGGCUCAGGCCUGCAGAGCUUCCCUGGGGUGAUCAGGGCAUCUGGUCCUGCUCCUUGUCAGACAGCACCAAUCAACAAGAGACAGGCAUCACCCACAGACUUGUCACCUUCCACCAGCCCCCAACACCUGGGAACCCCCAACAGGCAGGCCGGGGAGGCAUGGAUGCAAAGGCUGGGAUAAAAAUGACAAAAGAUUGACCACACCUGCCUUUCACAUGCAGGCUCUGAGCCCCAGUCAGGCUGGAGCCAGAGGAGAAGGAAGUUUUAAACUCGAUGAGAGAUAAUAACCAUGAUAUCUGAACUAUGUAGACUAUCUGGGAAAAAUAUAAUAAUAAUCAUUAAUCUCUUAAGAAGCAAGUAUAUCUAGACUAGAUUUCAUCCAGAAAUGGGAAAAUAUUUGAUAGAGAAAACUAUCAAACUAUUGUUUUUUUAGAACAAUGAUAAAAAAAUAAAAUUGUUUUCUGCUUUCA